rnacentral:lncRNA from 1 species
AAGAAAAGGCCAUCCUGCUGAAAUGACAAAAACAACAUAAAACACAUAUAAUUUCCCAAAAUUCAACAUGUCAAGUUUCACAUGCCAUAUUCAUAAGCUUUUAUUUCAUAACCAUAGAUAUACAUGAAUACAUAAAUAACCACCAAUAUCACCAUCAUCACACCUAGCUCAUGUGCAUCCCCCCACAUCGUGCACAUAGCCAAAGUCAUCGAGUGCAUCCCCCCACAUCGUGUACACGAGCACUAUCAUCAUCCACCUCCCUCAUCACGCCAUCACUGACAUGUGCAUCCCCCCUAAUCGUGCACAUGCACAGUUAUAAUUAUCACACAAUAACAACUAUCAUGCACAACAUAUAUAUAUAUAUCAACAUAAUGUAGUAGUGCAUGAAUCCANUAUAUAUAUAUAUAUACCAACAUAAUGUAGUAGUGCACGAAUCCAUAACAACCACAUGUCACAACAUAAAGUCAAUUAUCAAAGGCUUGUUCCCAAGGCACUCGUUUUUAAGAAAAGUUGUAUAAAAUCAUUUAAAUGCUUUGUGCAAAAUAGUCACAUUCCCAAAACGAUUUUGAAAUGCAAUUCACUCACCGGUAUUAUUUGAGCCUUUAGCCGAUCCUAGCUUCCCUAAUUGUCCAAAUGGGAUGAUGGGGCUUCGUUGGAACCUAUCAUCACAUUAGCAUCACCAAUUUGUCAAUUCACAUACUUAUAAAGUCUAAAGCUUUCUCUUAGCUAGCUUCCAAUUGCCAUUUAAAUGGCUAUCUAUUUUCACUACCCUAAUCACUCUAAAAUGUGUGGAUAACCUCAACUACAAACAUUCACAAUUCUCUAAAAUAUCUACCAGCACAUGCUAUCCAUAAUUUUUGCAAUUAAAAUAAAUCAUACUUAUAGGUAUAUAUUUAUGAAAAUUUUAAAAUUGACACCCCCUACUCACCUUGGUAGCUUGAAACUUUGAAAUUCUUUCUAAUAAAUUUUCCAAGCUAUUAUGGGAGCUUUCUCCCUCUUUCUCUCUCUAAACACCUAGCUAGUGAGAGAAAGUAUGAAAGUGAGAUUUUUCAAGGGUUUUAAAGUGAGAGAGUGAAAGAGCACAAGGAUUUCAUGAAAAGGUGCAGCGAGGAAUGAAAAUUGAAGCUAGAGAGAGAAAAAGUUAUGGAAGCUUGAAGAAGACUCCCAUGGAGGAUGAAGAAACAUGAGAGGGAAGAGGGAAGAAGGAAGAAGAAGAAGAAAA